rnacentral:rRNA from 1 species
UUGCAUUUAUUAGAUUGAAACUAAUUUUAAAGUUGAGUCAUAAUAACUGUGCGGAUCGUUUUGUAAAAAGCGAUGAAUCAAUUGGGUUUCUGCCCUAUCAGUUUUGGAUGGCUGUGUAUUGGACAGCCAUGACAUUAACGGGUAACGGGGAAUUGGGGUUUGAUACCGGAGAGGGCGCCUUAGAAAUGGCGACCACAUCCAAGGAAGGCAGCAGGCGCGUAAAUUACCCAAUCCUAAUUCUAGGGAGGUAGUGACUAGAAAUAACGAUUCGAGAUGCUUUGCAUUUUGAAAUUGGAAUGAGAACAAUUUAAAUCCCUUAUCGAGGAUCAAUUGGAGGGCAAGUCUGGUGCCAGCAGCCGCGGUAAUUCCAGCUCCAAUAGCGUAUAUUAAAGUUGUUGCAGUUAAAAAGCUCGUAGUUGGAUUGGUGUUGGUUAUGUUUCUCUGGGAAAUUCUCAAAGCGACGUUAACCAAUAUAUUUGGGAUUUGGUCUAGAAUGGCAUUCAGUUGUUGAUUUAGUUCCAGCCCAUCGUUUACUGUGAAAAAAUUAGAGUGUUUAAAGCAGGUUUUGUAACCGUUGAAUACAUUAGCAUGGAAUAAUAAUAUAUGACUCGUAUGGUCUAUUUUGUUGGUUUGCACGUAUGAGUAAUGAUUAAUAGGGACAGUUGGGGGUAUUCAUAUUUGAGCGUCAGAGGUGAAAUUCUUGGAUCGCUGAAAGAUGAGCUAAGGCGAAAGCAUUUACCAAGGAUGUUUUCAUUAAUCAAGAACGAAAGUUAGGGGAUCGAAGAUGAUUAGAUACCAUCGUAGUCUUAACCAUAAACUAUGCCGACUCGGGAUUGUGUUUAGGGAUUAAACCGAACGCAGCACCGUAUGAGAAAUCAAAGUCUUUGGGUUCCGGGGGGAGUAUAGUCACAAGGCUUAAACUUAAAGGAAUUGACGGAAGGGC